rnacentral:rRNA from 1 species
UACGAAGGGAGCUAGCGUUGUUCGGAAUUACUGGGCGUAAAGGGUGCGUAGGCUGUUAUGUAAGUUAGAUGUGAAAGCCUUGGUUUCAAGCUAAGAAUAGCAUUUAAUACUGCACAACUAGAGGGUAAGAGAGGAUAGUGGAAUUCUGAGUGUAGAGGUAAAAUUCGUAGAUAUUCAGAGGAACACCGGAGGCGAAAGCGUCUAUCUGGAUUACUACUGACGCUGAGGCACGAAAGUAUGGGGAGCAAACAGG